rnacentral:rRNA from 1 species
CGCCCGUCGCUCCUACCGAUUGGGUGUGCUGGUGAAGUGCUCGGAUUGGCGACCGGGGGCGGUUUCCGCCCUCGGCCGCCGAGAAGUUCAUUAAACCCUCCCACCUAGAGGAAGGAGAAGUCGUAACAAGGUCUCC